rnacentral:misc_RNA from 1 species
GAAUUAUGAAAAUUUCAUUAAAUGCCAAACACAACCCCCUAUCAUCCUUAAAUAGACAGAAAGUUCCAACACAAUGGCACAGACUUUAACAGAAACAAUAGGCUAUCGGUCUAGUAUAGCCAUUUCUGAUGCAGUUUCAUGCUAUUGACCUGUUGUAUAAAUCCAAUGAUAACUCUUUAUAUUCUCACUGCUGUCGAGUUA